rnacentral:rRNA from 1 species
GAUGAACGCUAGCUACAGGCUUAACACAUGCAAGUCGAGGGGCAGCAUGGUCUUAGCUUGCUAAGGCCGAUGGCGACCGGCGCACGGGUGAGUAACGCGUAUCCAACCUGCCUUACACUCUUGGACAGCCUUCUGAGAGGGAGAUUAAUACAAGAUGUUAUCAUGAGUAAGCAUUUUCGCAUGAUUAAAGGUUUACCGGUGUAAGAUGGGGAUGCGUUCCAUUAGAUAGUAGGCGGGGUAACGGCCCACCUAGUCUUCGAUGGAUAGGGGUUCUGAGAGGAAGGUCCCCCACAUUGGAACUGAGACACGGUCCAAACUCCUACGGGAGGCAGCAGUGAGGAAUAUUGGUCAAUGGACGAGAGUCUGAACCAGCCAAGUAGCGUGAAGGAUGAAGGUUCUAUGGAUUGUAAACUUCUUUUAUACGGGAAUAAACGGAUCCACGUGUGGAUUUUUGCAUGUACCGUAUGAAUAAGGAUCGGCUAACUCCGUGCCAGCAGCCGCGGUAAUACGGAGGAUCCGAGCGUUAUCCGGAUUUAUUGGGUUUAAAGGGAGCGUAGAUGGGUUGUUAAGUCAGUUGUGAAAGUUUGCGGCUCAACCGUAAAAUUGCAAUUGAUACUGGCAGUCUUGAGUACAGUUGAGGUAGGCGGAAUUCGUGGUGUAGCGGUGAAAUGCUUAGAUAUCACGAAGAACUCCGAUUGCGAAGGCAGCUUACUAACCUGUAACUGACAUUGAUGCUCGAAAGUGUGGGUAUCAAACAGG